UGGGGAAUAUUGGACAAUGGGCGAAAGCCUGAUCCAGCAAUGCCGCGUGAGUGAUGAAGGCCUUAGGGUUGUAAAGCUCUUUUACCAGGGAUGAUAAUGACAGUACCUGGAGAAUAAGCUCCGGCUAACUCCGUGCCAGCAGCCGCGGUAAUACGGAGGGAGCUAGCGUUGUUCGGAAUUACUGGGCGUAAAGCGUGCGUAGGCGGUCCAUCAAGUCAGAGGUGAAAGCCUGGAGCUCAACUCCAGAACUGCCUUUGAAACUAGCGGACUAGAAUCUGGGAGAGGUGAGUGGAAUUCCGAGUGUAGAGGUGAAAUUCGUAGAUAUUCGGAAGAACACCAGUGGCGAAGGCGGCUCACUGGACCAGAAUUGACGCUGAGGCACGAAAGCGUGGGGAGCAAA
rnacentral:rRNA from 1 species